rnacentral:sRNA from 1 species
CCUCCUGGGUUCAAGCGAUUCUCCUGCCUCAGCCUCCUGAGUAGCUGGGAUUACAGGCACGUGCCACCAUGCCCGGCUAAUAUUUUUGUAUUUUUAGUAGAGACGAGGUUUCUCCAUGUUGGUCAGGCUGGUCUUGAACUCCCGGCCUCAGAUCCAUGACCAGAACUGUCCUUUGGCAAAUGUCAUCUGUGAAUACUGCAAUACUAUACUCAUCAGAGAACAGAUGCCUAAUCAUUAUGAUCUAGACUGCCCUACAGCCCCAAUUCCAUGCACAUUCAGUACUUUUGGUUGCCAUGAAAAGAUGCAGAGGAAUCACUUGGCACGCCACCUACAAGAGAACACCCAGUCACACAUGAGAAUGUUGGCCCAGGCUGUUCAUAGUUUGAGCCUUAUACCUGACUCUGGGUAUAUCUCAGAGGUCCGGAAUUUCCAGGAAACUAUUCACCAGUUAGAGGGUCGCCUUGUAAGACAAGACCAUCAAAUCCGGGAGCUGACUGCUAAAAUGGAAACUCAGAGUAUGUAUGUAAGUGAGCUCAAACGAACCAUUCGAACCCUUGAGGACAAAGUUGCUGAAA